rnacentral:RNase_P_RNA from 1 species
ACUACAAACCGAACUAUCGAGCUGGUGCAUGCCAGUUAGGAAAGUCCGGACAGCGCAGGGCGAUGCACCGGUGAAGAGCCGGGAACCAGGCUGUGAUAAACAGCCGGGUUACAGACAGUGCCACAGAAAAUAACCGCCAGUAAAACUGGUAAGGGUGAAAAUGCAGGGUAAGAGCCUGCGUGUAUGGAAAGAGAUUUUUAUACAGGGUAAACCUUGCAUGCUGAAAUGCCAUGUAAACCCGGUGCUGCCCGUUGUACUUGUUACAAAGGGGCGGCUUGAGCUGCUCGUGCAAUGCUAUCCGGUUGGAUAGAGCCGGGAGGGUAGGCAGAAAGAGGUGACUGAGCAAUCAGCAUCCCAGAUAAAUGAUAGUUUAGAAACAGAAUCCGGCUUAUGAGUUUGUAGUUUUU